AAAUAAAUAAAUCUUUAUUAAUGAUUUCCAUUAAAGAUUAUCCCUCAUGCAUCCCAAGCGGAAAGGGAACAUGUCGCAUAAAUCAAUUAGUAUUACAAUUCAUUACAGCUUAGAUAAAAAAAUUAAAAAAACUCAUUCACACUGAGGAAAAUUAAGUCGAACACUUUAAAUCCUCAUCUGAAGAUUUGACAGACUAUCCACUGCUGUUUGAAGGAAAAUAAUAUAUAUAUAUAUAUAUAUAUAUAUUUCAUGGGCUUGCUAAUGUGUGUGUAUAUAUAAAGAGAGUUUAGUGCUUUUUCUUCUCACAGGACAAUAUAUUUAAAAAUGUGCUUUGAAGUGUCUUAAGUGUCUAUACAUACAGUAUACUAUCAACAGGAAAUGAAGACAGCGGUGUGCAUUUUGAGUAGAACAGUAGUUGUGAUUGAUCAGUUCAAGUUUGAGA